CCUUUGACACGGAAGCGUUUGUGUGGGGGGGGAAACUUCCGGCCAAUCUGGACGAAGAGCUGACAUGCUGUAUCUACAGGUGUCGCUUCACGUCCCACCUGCGUACUGCCGAUUAUCGAGUCCGUGGAAAAAAAACACUCAACUCUCGAGUCAACAGGAAAAUCCCAUUGAGAUGAAGAAUCUCCUGUGACAAACAUUCAGUAUCUUGCCCGAGGACAAGGAUGGCAAAAGCUGGAUUGGUACCUGGAUCCCUCCAGUUCUGGGAACAUUUCGCAGGAACCCCCGAGCCAAGCUGGCCUAAUGGCGCCAGAGGAUCGGUCAUCCAGGACCCGAACCUGGACCCCGACGUCUUGAUGGUGAUGGGGUCGCUGAUGCCCGUCAGUUUGCCGCACGCUGCAACGGACAAAGUCUCUAGCCGAGGAAGCAGACGGGGCCCACUUCGAAGCCGAACUUCUGCGAGGGGCCGCCAAAGUCGUUGAACAUGAUGUCCACCAGGGGGACCUGCUCCACCUUGGGGGUGUUGAUCUCCAGUACCGUCCUGUCGUAGCCCUUCUUCAGCUGCAACGAGGUGAGAGGAAGGUUUUAAAAACAAAUAUAUACAUUUUCAACCACUUUUGGUGAAUGUUAAAGGUCGUAAAAGUUAUUAAAAAAUAAGUUUUUUUUUCUACUCUCAAUGCUAAAAUCUGUAGCGCACCAGCAGAUCUAUUCACUGAUACAAUAGUUCUAGUUUGUUUUAUGCCCUUUUUGUCAAAGAAAACCCGGUUUUUCAUGGCAAAAAAAACCCCGCAAAUAUUUGCAAUAAUUUUCCCCAAAUAAAUUCAAACUGGAAUAAUUGAGGUGAAAUAAUUGGACCCUAGUAAAGGGCAAGAAAA